rnacentral:tRNA from 1 species
UGGGGUGUAGCUCAGUGGUAGAGCGUGUCCCUAGCAUGCACACGACCCUGGGAUCCAUCCCCAGC